UCCUCCCUCUUUCUUCGUGCUUAACACAUGCAAGUCGAACGGAAAGGCCCCUUCGGGGGUCCUCGAGUGGCGAACAGGUGAGUAACACGUGAGUAACCUGCCCUUGACUUCGGGAUAACUUCAGGAAACUGGGGCUAAUACCGGAUAGGAAUCCUUGCUGCAUGGUGGGGGUUGGAAAGCUUCGGCGGUUUUGGAUGGACUCGCGGCUUAUCAGCUUGUUGGUGGGGUAGUGGCUUACCAAGGCUUUGACGGGUAGCCGGCCUGAGAGGGCGACCGGCCACAUUGGGACUGAGAUACGGCCCAGACUCCUACGGGAGGCAGCAGUGGGGAAUAUUGCACAAUGGGCGGAAGCCGGAUGCAGCAACGCCGCGUGCGGGAUGACGGCCUUCGGGUUGUAAACCGCUUUCAGCAGGGGCGAAGCUUGUGGUGACGGUACCUGCAGAAGAAGCACCGGCUAACUACGUG
rnacentral:rRNA from 1 species